rnacentral:rRNA from 1 species
AUACGGAAGGUCCGGGCGUUAUCCGGAUUUAUUGGGUUUAAAGGGAGCGCAGGCGGAGAUGCAAGCGUGACGUCAAAUUUCGGGGCUCAACCCCGUCUCGCGUCGCGAACUGCGUCCCUUGGUUGCGGGAAGGGGAGGCGGAACUCGUGGUGUAGCGGUGAAAUGCAUAGAUAUCACGAAGAACUCCGAUCGCGAAGGCAGCCUGCCGGCCCGUCAACGACGCUCAUGCUCGAAGGUGCGGGUAUCAAACAGGAGUAGAUACCCUGGUAGUCCGCACAGUAAACGAUGGACACCCGCGGUUUGGCCUGUAUGGCUGAGCCGCCAAGCGAAAGCGUUAAGUGUCCCACCUGGGGAGUACGCCGGCAACGGUGAAACUCAAAUGAAUUGACGGGG